CAGCAUGAUGAUAAACAGGGGAUGUGGCUGCAGACUGGGUAGAAAACGAUGUCACAAAGGAUCUACCUGUUGUGUCUGGGA